AAACUGUGCUGCCACAGGCCCAUUUUUCGGUGAGAAAGCUAGAAAAGUUGGAGGACUUGUUCUAAGUCACGCUGUUACCAGCCUAGAGGGGCAUCUCAGUGUUUUGAGCAGCUUCUCGUUUUGUGAGCUUUGUGGAUGAGUGAGCA
rnacentral:misc_RNA from 1 species